UUUACAGACCUGAUGUGCAGUUUUGGAUCAAAAGUGAACAAUUGCCUCCAUUGCGCCCCCUGGAAGAUUUUGACGAAGCCCCGCCCGCAUCCUGUUUGACCGACAAGUCCGCUGAUUUUUUACCAAAUGUAUUAAAGGGAGACUUAAAAAAGUCUCUGAGGAAUUUUCUCUAAAACAAACAGGAAGGCAGUUAUAAUUUUUUUAGUGUGAAUAUUUCCUGUAUUUUUGGCGGAGAGUGACCAAUCCUAUUUCAGUGACUUUUCGAAUUCUCAAACCCAUCAGAGGGUUUAGCUCUCCUGGUAAGAAACCGCCCCCCGAUCCUAUGGUCGUGAGAUCGAGUCCCGACGAAAUUUUUUUUGUUACUUCUUUUUUUAAACGCGUGUCCGGCUGAUCUAACGGACAAAAUGAUUCAGGUAACUCUCCUUGCUGAGGUUUUUAAAUAACUGUACACUUAGAGCAGCUGUGUCACACUCGUUUCAGCCACAUACGGCUGCUGGGCACAGCUGCCGUAUGUGUGGAGCUGGGGGAGACGUGAGUGACCUGGCGUUUGCCAGCUCUAACGUAAUGUAUUUCUGUUCAAAGUAACCGCUAUUCAUGUUUUGCACUUUGUACAUCGCCCUUACUUAAUUAAUUAGACUCCUGAUGUGACUUCAAUUGUGUUUAUUGAACAAUGCUGCAAAAUAUAGUCCCCAAAAAUCGCACUCUCCGCCAUUUUGUAUUGCGUAAUCACAGUGAGCUGGUGGCUCCGUUGGGAAGCAACAUACGGGUGGAGAUGCAAACACGUUUUGUGAUAUUACGGGUUACUGUUAAGGUAAAUAACUCCAUCACCCAGCGUUCCCUAGUCUGUGUUGAAGGACAUGCGCAGAGCAGCGCGCGGCAGACCCCGGGGGUAGCAUUACAGCGGACUGUGCUAGUUUAGCAAAGUAUAGCUCGUGGAGUGCUAGGCGGGGUCUCCUCGCUAGCUAGUGAAGUGUUUAGCUAACUUUAGAAACGUUAUCAGCUCGUCACCAACGCCGAAGGCUUCACCGCGAACGCAAACGGCAGCCAGCCGCCUUGCCUCUACAGCCAGUGAUGUGCCCGGAGCUCAACGGCUUUCUCCCCCCUCUCUCUCCCACGCCACUAACAGACGUUUAACGGGCAGAACCGUGAGCUGCGAGUGGACAUAAUACUGAGGACGCAGUGUGAACAACAUUGGACAUUAUUGUAUACAAGGAUCUCUUCGUUAUGGGUAGUCUUGAAUGAUGUUAUUUCAUGUUUUCCUGCAUUCAGUUAAGAGCAACAGUGUUAAGCUUGGCCUGUCGUUUGCCGCAUCCAUGGCUCUAUGUUGCUAAUGACUGUCACACACAUUGGAAUGCAUGGAUGUUGUUACGGGGGAUUUAUCUGUUGUGUUCUGGUUAAUGAGUUAGAAUAACUCUCAAUUGAGCAGGACCGGUGUGCCCCUGUUAAAGCUUUAACUUAAUGUAUUUCUGUUCAAAGUAAGCUCUAUUCAGGUUAUGGACUUUAAUAACACUCCUCAUGUAACUUUACAUGUCUUUAAUGAAUACAGGAUGUAAUAUUUGUUCAGUAUGCAGGGGCAGUAUAUUUCAUUUGUCAUGUUGUACAUAUUUUGUUUUUUUACAUGAGAAUAUGCUUCGGUACAUGCUGAGUUAAUGAAUAUACAUUCUAAAGUGCAAUGUUCAUAUGUGAAUAAGAGUUGUAUACGUUUUAUGAUAGUCAAUAUGGUGUGGAAAUGUCUCAUGUAGUUGGUCAAUUGGAACUAUAUUAGGCAGUAAUAACAGCUAUGGUUUUUAUCUUAAAACAAAAAAGGAUAACUCUGUUGGACAACUACUCAAUUGUCUUGACGACAUAUAGGCCUGGAUGGCUUGGAACUUUUUUAAUUUUAAUGACUUGGGUCAAUGCAAAGUUUCUACAUGGCUUAACUGAUUCAAACUGAACUUACCAAUAUAUUAAGCCCUGGAGGAAGAGCGUAUCUUAGUCAAUGUAUUAUUAAUUAUUUCAUUCAGCAAAGCUCUCUUCAGGAAGACAGCCACGUCGUCAUCCAGCGGGUUUGGUUAAAAAGUUAACAUAUCUUGAUGGAGCAAAAGAGGUGGGGUUAGCUGUCGUCCUUGUACCUCGACUAAACCAAGGUGUGAAUUAACCUUGAUUGAGACUGCGUCUAUAAGAUAUACAGGACAAGAAAAAUGCACUGGAUGUAAACUGUACGCGUGUUGAAUCAAUUAUACGGACGCAAACUGGAGAACGAGA